GACGAACGCUGGCGGCGUGCUUAACACAUGCAAGUCGAACGGAAAGGCCUCUUUCGGGGGGUACUCGAGUGGCGAACGGGUGAGUAACACGUGAGUAACCUGCCCUUGACUUUGGGAUAACUUCAGGAAACUGGGGCUAAUACCGGAUAGGAGCUCCUGCUGCAUGGUGGGGGUUGGAAAGUUUCUGCGGUUGGGGAUGGACUCGCGGCUUAUCAGCUUGUUGGUGGGGUAGUGGCUUACCAAGGCUUUGACGGGUAGCCGGCCUGAGAGGGUGACCGGCCACAUUGGGACUGAGAUACGGCCCAGACUCCUACGGGAGGCAGCAGUGGGGAAUAUUGCACAAUGGGUGGAAGCCUGAUGCAGCAACGCCGGGUGCGGGAUGACGGCCUUCGGGUUGUAAACCGCUUUCGCUCAUGACGAAGCUUUGUGUGACGGUAGUGGGUAAAGAAGCACCGGCUAACUACGUG
rnacentral:rRNA from 1 species